rfam:Thermoplasmatales archaeon I-plasma AMDT3_IPLC00003, whole genome shotgun sequence.
GCUCCGGUGGUGUAGACCGGCCAAGCAUAUGGGGCUCUCAAUCCCACGACCCGGGUCCAAAUCCCGGCCGGAGCA